rnacentral:rRNA from 1 species
CCUACGGGAGGCAGCAGUGGGGAAUAUUGCACAAUGGGGGAAACCCUGAUGCAGCGACGCCGCGUGAGUGAAGAAGUAUUUCGGUAUGUAAAGCUCUAUCAGCAGGGAAGCACUAAAGUCCUUCGGACUUUGGACGGUACCUGACUAAGCAGCCCCGGCUCACUACGUGCCAGAAGCCGCGGUGAUCCGUAGGGGGCAAGCGUUAUCCGGAUUUACUGGGUGUAAAGGGAGCGUCGACGGGAGCGCCAGUCUGGAGUGAAAUCCCAGGGCUUAACCAUUGAACUGCGUUGGAAACUGGGCAGCUGGAGUGCAGGAGAGGGAAGCGGAAUUCCGAGUGUAGCGGUGAAAUGCGUAGAUAUUAGGAGGAACACCAGUGGCGAAGGCGGCUUACUGGGCUGUAACUGACGUUGAGGCUCGAAAGCGUGGGGAGCAAACAGGAUGAGAUACCCGUGUAGUC